rnacentral:SRP_RNA from 1 species
CGCUGGGUCCGGCGCGGCGCAGGGCUGUUAACCCCGCCAGGUCCGGAAGGAAGCAACGGUCCGCAGCUUUCUGCGGGUGCCGCCGGGCAACCUGGCCCAA